rnacentral:rRNA from 1 species
GAAACGACUGCUAAGACUGGAUAGGAGAUAAGAAGGCAUCUUUUUAUUUUUAAAAGACCUAGCAAUAGGUAUGCUUAGGGAAGAGCUUGCGUCACAUUAGUUAGUUGGUGGGGUAAUGGCCUACCAAGACGAUGAUGUGUAGCCGGGCUGAGAGGUCGAACGGCCACAUUGGGACUGAGACACGGCCCAAACUCCUACGGGAGGCAGCAGUAAGGAAUUUUCGGCAAUGGAGGAAACUCUGACCGAGCAAUGCCGCGUGAACGAUGAAGUAUUUCGGUACGUAAAGUUCUUUUAUUAGGGAAGAAAAAAUGGUGGAAAAAUCAUUAUGACGGUACCUAAUGAAUAAGCCCCGGCUAACUAUGUGCCAGCAGCCGCGGUAAUACAUAGGGGGCAAGCGUUAUCCGGAAUUAUUGGGCGUAAAGGGUGCGUAGGCGGUUAAAUAAGUUUAUGGUCUAAGUGCAAUGCUUAACAUUGUGAUGCUAUAAAAACUGUUUAGCUAGAGUUGGAUAGAGGCAAGUGGAAUUCCAUGUGUAGUGGUAAAAUGCGUAAAUAUAUGGAGGAACACCAGGAGCGAAGGCGGCUUGCUGGGUCUUAACUGACGCUGAGGCACGAAAGCGUGGGGAGCAAACAGGAUUAGAUACCCUGGUAGUCCACGCCCUAAACGAUGAGUACUAAACGUUGGUUAAAACCAGUGUUGAAGUUAACACAUUAAGUACUCCGCCUGAGUAGUACGUACGCAAGUAUGAAACUUAAAGGAAUUGACGGGACUCCGCACAAGCGGUGGAUCAUGUUGUUUAAUUCGAAGGUACCCGAAAAACCUUACCAGGUCUUGACAUGCUUUUGCAAAGCUUUAGAAAUAUAGUGGAGGUUAUCAGAAGCACAGGUGGUGCAUGGUUGUCGUCAGCUCGUGUCGUGAGAUGUUGGGUUAAGUCCCGCAACGAGCGCAACCCUUGUUGUUAAUUGCCAUCAUUAAGUUGGGGACUUUAGCAAGACUGCCAGUGAUAAAUUGGAGGAAGGUGGGGACGACGUCAAAUCAUCAUGCCCCUUAUGACCUGGGCUACAAACGUGAUACAAUGGCUGUUACAAAGGGUAGCUAAAACGCAAGUUUCUGGCGAAUCUCAAAAAAGCAGUCUCAGUUCGGAUUGAAGUCUGCAACUCGACUUCAUGAAGUUGGAAUCGCUAGUAAUCGCGAAUCAGCAUGUCGCGGUGAAUACGUUCUCGGGGUUUGUACACACCGCCCGUCA